rnacentral:rRNA from 1 species
CAGUCGCCGCGGUAAAACCGAGGAUGCAAGCGUUAUCCGGAAUGAUUGGGCGUAAAGCGUCUGUAGGUGGCUUUUCAAGUCCGCCGUCAAAUCCCAGGGCUCAACCCUGGACAGGCGGUGGAAACUACCAAGCUGGAGUACGGUAGGGGCAGAGGGAAUUUCCAGUGGAGCGGUGGAAUGCGUUGAGAUCGAAAAGAACACCAACAGCGAAAGCACUCUGCUGGGACGACACUGACACUAAGAGACGAAAGCUAGGGGAGCAAAUGGGAUUAGAUACCCCAGUAGUCCCUGUCUCUUAUAC